AUAGCUCAGUGGUAGAGCACAUAUUUAGCAUGCAUGAGGUCCUGGGUUCAAUCCUCAGU
rnacentral:tRNA from 1 species